rnacentral:lncRNA from 1 species
UACAGGGUGAUCUCAUCAUCAACUGAAAUCAGUACACAAGACGAGUUCUCCACAGAAAAAUUGUACACAUACAUGUUAUUACAUCAGUAAGAGUUUUAUCAUGCAUGAAAAUAUCAAUCCAAAAUGUUAAGUUUAUUUUAUGGUUGGAACUACAUUAAAGACUUGAUACUAUGGGUAGAUUACAAAAACAUUAGAUUAGGGUUUCCCCUGUAUGUAUUAUGCUGGAAAAUGCAUGAAACUAAGGAAUACCUAUUGCUUCUUUCGUUGUUACAAAUUCAUUGUGGCUUAGAAUGCUCAAUUGGAUGGGUAUUCAAAGGAGUAAAGCAUAUUGGCAUGAGGAGGCUAGUUGGAUGAGUAGAUGUGCAAAUAAGCAAUCUGGUAUCUGUGGUACACUCAGUUGCUUGUUUGUUGUGGUUGUAUCUAUAAUAAGGGAAAGAAACA